GAAGAACAACACACCCCGUUUUUUACACGUUUCAAAUGAACAGCCAAUGAAACACCGGGAUGUUGGUACGUGGGGCGGCGUUCAAGACGAGCCAGUUGCUAGUGGCAGCUUCAGCUACACACCGAAACCGAGGUGAUGGAGGAAUUUGAAGCUAGAUUCGCUAGACUGAAGCUAAGGCUGCAGCUAGCAGGCUGGUAUACCUGUGUUUCUGUCCAGCCAAAGAAUACAAAAAAGGACAAAAGAAAUCGGAAUUAUUUAGCGAUUGAGGACUUUCGAAGUUUAACGCCACAUAUGAUGGAGAAGCUCCGGCGGCUGAGGAACUUACUCCCUGUAACAUCUGUGGAAGAAGCUUCUUUCCCAAAGUCUUGAAGAAACACAUUCCUAUAUA
ensembl:lncRNA